UACGGAGGGUGCGAGCGUUGUCCGGAAUCAUUGGGCGUAAAGGGCGCGUAGGUGGCGGGACAAGCGUGCGGUGAAAGCCUGGGGCUCAACCCCGGGUCGGCCGUGCGAACUGUUUUGCUUGAGCACUGUAGAGGCAGGCGGAAUUCCGGGUGUAGCGGUGGAAUGCGUAGAGAUCCGGAAGAACACCAGUGGCGAAGGCGGGUCUCUGGGCAACAACUGACGCUGAGGAGCGAAAGCGUGGGGAGCGAACGAGG
rnacentral:rRNA from 1 species